rnacentral:rRNA from 1 species
GCUUACGGCCAUACCAGCCUGAAAGCGCCCGAUCUCGUCAGAUCUCGGAAGCUAAGCAAGGUCGGGCCUGGUUAGUACUAGGAUGGGAGACUUCCUGGGAAUACCAGGUGCUGUAAGCA